AAUGCAGUAAGAGGAAGAGAGCGUGUGUUUUAUGUUUUGCAAGUAUCCCUGUGUGCCUUGUGGUGACAGCACACUCCAUGCACGGGGACUUCAGAAGCACCAAGGCCACUGCACGAUGUUCCACUGAGCCCCUGUGGCCGGCUGCAGAGGCCAAGGACUGAGCUACAGCUGAGGGCAGAGGGUCAUCUUCCAGUGCCACGCAGACACAAAGCGUGGACAAUAAAAGAUGCCAGAGGAAGGACACGCUCCCUGCAUGGGACCAGAGACUCUCCAAGGAUACAAGGGACGGCCGUGAGCGUGUCCCAAGAUCUAAGGCACUGCAGGGAGAGCCAUCUCUGCAAGAAGCAAUGUCCCCAGAUAAUUCAUGAAUGGAAGCAACCAAGGCAGAAGUUUUCCCUUUAACAUCUCCUCAUCAGUGAAGCAGUAUUCGAGAGGUAGGGCUCUAUUUAUUAUGUGAUUAUGUGGCAGGAAGAACUACCCCAGUGUGCAGAUUCCCUCAGAACUGCAGCCCAAAAACAACUCUAGGCUCUAAUAUCUCACUAAAAAUAAAAUCUUCAGACCUCAGGACUGCAAGGUAAAGAGCAGGAAUGCAAAGCCUGCAGUGAGACCUGAUGAAUGCCACAUGCACUUCAACCUAAGUUGAAAAUUUAAGGAAAUUAAAAAAAAAGAAAAAGAUUUUUUGGUAAAGAAAAUAGCAGCAUUAACUACUUCACUGCUUGGCAAUUUAGUGGGAGAUUGAUGGCUGCUCUUCACAGCUCAGGGACGAACAAAUGCUGGGAUGAGACAGGGGGAGGUAGGGACUCUUUGUCAAACUUUGCUAAGGUGAUGAUGGGAAUUUAAUUUAUAUUUCUUGUUGUGUAAGAGGGAAACAACAGAGAGAAAGCCUUCUGCUGCCAGGAGCACAACCCUCAGCUCCUGCCUGGCCCCUAAGUUCUAUGUGUGCCCUCAGCAUGAGCGAGUGAAUUUAGGCAGCUUUGGUGGAGUUGAGAGAAUCCAAAAGAGUAAGGGAAAAAAUCUGACUUGUAGGAAAUAAGUAAGGGUGAAUGAUUAAUGUAGCUGAAAGUGCUGCUCACAAGAGUUUUUCUCCUAUCAAAUCUUGCACUCCUGGCAUUACUUUGUGGCAUGGCCCUGAUUUCUUCACCUCUCCUUCUCCGGGGCUCGGUGCACACGAUCCCCAACCAGGCAAACUUUCUCAGUCUGAUCCAGGUCUGCAGGAUGUCUUCACAACCCUGUUGUCUGCCCCAAACAAAAGGAACGAUUCCUUGACCUUGCCUUUCUCAUACAGCUGAGCAUGCAACUUUCCUAAGUAUUUCAGCUUACUUAAAAUAAGAAAAAACAGCAGCACAAGCAAACCAAACCAAACCCAAAGCGACCAACCCGCCCCAAACAACCCUACAAAAACAAGGUGCUUGCUGCACACACAUCUCACCCUGCAGAGAGGAUGAAAGGGCAAACAUGUGCGAGCCGUGAGUCACAUUGCUCAGCAUGGCAGGGGGGAGCGCACACAGAGCCCCUGCUGCCAUGGGGAUCCUGGGGCACAAGCAGUGACAGUGACCUCUUUCUCCCCACCCAGUUUUGAAGGCACAGGUAGGGUACAUUGACGUGCAAGUUUGUGCUGUUAUACACUGGUUUCCAGCACGUAAUACUAUCUGUAUUCACACAUUGGCUUUGUUUAAUUAGAAAUAUUCACUACUUCAGCAAACCGUGUGUGGAAAGAAUGUGGACACAUCCACCAGCCCAUGGAAAACUUCCCUCACUAUUGCCUAUGGGCUUUUUCCCCCCUCACAAGCUGUGUUUAAUAGGAAGUGUCUCUAUUCAGCACACAGUCACAGCCAAUGAUAAAGGUUAUUUCUCUGGGAUGGCCAUGUUUGUAUUGGUAUUUGUUCCAUAUGCCUCUGU